rnacentral:rRNA from 1 species
CCUACGGGGCGCACCAGUGGGGAGUAUUGGACAAUGGGCGAAAGCCUGAUCCAGCAAUGCCGCGUGUGUGAAGAAGGUCUUCGGAUUGUAAAGCACUUUCGACGGGGACGAUGAUGACGGUACCCGUAGAAGAAGCCCCGGCUAACUUCGUGCCAGCAGCCACGGUAAUACGAAGGGGGCUAGCGUUGCUCGGAAUGACUGGGCGUAAAGGGCGCGUAGGCGGUUUAUGCAGUCAGAUGUGAAAUCCCCGGGCUUAACCUGGGAACUGCAUUUGAGACGCAUAGACUAGAGGUCGAGAGAGGGUUGAGGAAUUCCCAGUGUAGAGGUGAAAUUCGUAGAUAUUGGGAAGAAAACCGGUGGCGAGGGCGGCAACCUGGCUCGUUACUGACGCUGAGGCGCGAAAGCGUGGGGAGCAAACAGGAUUAGAUACCCUGGUAGUC